rnacentral:snRNA from 1 species
GGAUGUGAGAGCAAUUUGUCUGUGAUAUCUGUCACCCCAUUAAUUGCCAAGGUUGAUUUGGCAGAUCUGGCUGGCUAGGCAGGUGUCCCCUUCCUCCCUCAUCACUCCAUGUGUGUCCCUCUUGAAGCUGUGCACUCUGUUGAAGAGGAUGACCUUCCUCAUUCAGAGGAGGACCAGUCUUCAGUCAAGAGUAUACAAGUAGCUGUGCUCCCCUGCGGGAACUUCCAAACAAGUGCUCAAGGUCAUAUGUACAAAAGGUGUUGCAGUUACCUUUUUGUUGCUGGGAAAAACACAUGACCAGAAGUAGCUUAU